AGUUUCGUUUAUUGUAGUAUCAUUAAGUUUCCUGCCUGUCCCGACCGCUGUGCUUCAUGCGCAAUACACUGAGAAUUUGAGUACAGUACAUAGGAAAUGACUCAUAGGAGUUGAACUGUUAGCGUGGGUGUGUACUCUAUUUAAACAAGGCUCAGACUACUCGGGAUGACUCAGUGCGAGGCUAGCUUUCAUUGGUGAAAACCAACACGGGCUGUUCAUGAGAUGAACUUUCGGGAAUUGCGUUUAUACAUGAACGAUGGCUUCAUACAUUCUCUGUGCGCUUUGUGGACUGAUCAUUGCGACUAUAGUCAAACUAAACGGAGUGAAUGGGCAAAGCCUAUGCACCAGUAAAGAGUUCUGGAGUUCAGACAUAGACCAAUGUGUAUCCUGCUCAACAUGCAAGCAGUAUCCAAAGACCCCUUCAUGUAACACUUGCACAUUUACAGAGGAGAGUUCUGAUGUCUGGAGACUGGCAGCCAUUUCCAGCUUCUCUGUGCUGGCAGUCGUUCUGCUCAUUGCAGUAUUGAUCAUUGGGGUCAUGGUGCAUCGACGCACGGCAAACAAUAGGCCCCUUCGUGGUAGGGCUCACGGCUACCAUCUCCUGAUAAACUAACAUUAACCUAUUGAAGAGACAACGGGACCUCUUUACCAAGCUUAAACAUUUCAGUAGCUUCAUCUUCCUUCUGACAUCGAUGUGACAGAACCAAGGGAACACCUUUUGAGGACCAAUCGUCAGAAGAAUUUCUGUACAAUGGACUGUGGGUAUUAUUUGAGUAGAGUUUGACCAUCUUGAAUUUAUACUGCUAGUUAGUAAAGAUGUGCUCACACUCAUUAGACUGUCACAGAACGGAGCUCUCACAUAGAAUUGUGUUGACUCACGCUGUCAAUCCCGUCUUGUCUGAAGUCAGACUGUACUCUGAGGAAGACCGUGUGGUUAGUAAAGAGUAGCUCUCACAGCUCUUUUUGUGUUGAUAUCCUUUGACUAGUGAUGCUAGUUUUAGCCAGUGUAGAUAUUCCAAUCUAUCGAUAAGUCAUUUGUUCAACAAUAAGUAGGUUCAAAAACAGUAGUGAACAUGAGACACAUCUUGAAUUAUUUGUAUUUAUUACCUUAACUGUCAAUGCUUGAACACCUAUUGGUGUCAGACAUAUUGUACAUUUAGCUUAUUAGGUAGAAUACCAGAAAACACACUGCCUCGACUUGCCACAAGCAGGAUGAAUGUGAAUACAGCACAAUCAAGCUUUCUGUGCCUAGGUUUGACCUGCUGUACUUCUAAGACUAAAAGGUUUAUAUUUGCUGGUCAUAUAUAACAACCUCUUGGUGAAGUAUACAAGUGAUAUGUUAGGUGAGUGGUCACCAACCAGUCGAUCGGUUAUAUAAAAUAUAUUUUGAUUUGUUUGAAACUUUUUUUGGGUUACCACAUGAUUCCAAGUGUUAUUUCCUAGUUUGUCUUCACUAUUAUUCUACAAUGUAGAAAAUAGUCAAAAUAAAGAAACCCUGGAAUGAGUAGGUGUGCCCAAACGUUUGACUGGUACUGUAUAUAAUUUCCUGAGCUUUCUUAUAUCUUCUAGAUAUAGGACAAACACGUAACCUUGUUUCUUAUUUAUUUUUUGAAUGUCUUUUUGCCAUUUAUGAAUGUGUUAUUCAGUAUCUCUCUGGGUUAUAGUAGUAAAGACCAAAUUCAAUAUUAUAUCAAAUGUUUUUAUUUAUUUUUAUACCUUAAGGGGUCCUAAAAUUCAAAUAUCUAAAUGAGCCACCUCAUGGGAUAAUUUUAAGAUGAUCAUAUGUCAGCUUAGAACCCACCCCACCCCCAGCAAUGCAGAGAAGGAAAAAAACAAUACAAGUAACAAUAGAUACACAAUGAGUGACUCACUUGGCUAUAUACAAGGGGUACGAGGUAGAUAUGGACAUAUAACUAGGAAUAAAGUGACAGUAGCGGCAGUAUAUGUGAUGAGUCAAAGCGAGUGCAAAAAGGGGUCAAUGCAGAUAGUUAACCAAAUAUCUAUUCAGACAAACUAUUUCAGGGUCCUGUUACUAGUUUCAACAAAUCAUUUUUAAAGGAGUAGAAUGUUAACAUUUGUGAACUGUAGUCUUCCAAUCACGAGGCAACGGGAAAAUAAGUCGUGACUAUGAAACUGCUCAAACAUAUUGGACAUUCUUUAACAGGUCAUUUUACCAUUAUGCUGUCAAAUGUAGACACUGUGUAAUGUGUGCCCUAUGCAGGAUAAAGUAGCAUAACACGGGGGUUCCCAAACUGUUGUGAUGGAAAGGUUCUAGGUGGUCCAGAAUUCUGUGAGAAUGUGUUUGUAUCUAAGCAUUUAAAUCAUUCCCAGAUGGACACAAAUAGGGAAUCCUUACCACUGUGCUCUGAUUCAGAGGGGUUGGGUUAAAUGCGGAACACAUACUACUGGUCCAAACUUUUAGAACACCUACUCAUUCAAGGGUUUUUCUUUAUUUUGAACUAUUUUCUACUUUGUAGAAUAAUAGUGAAGACAAAAAAAAACGAUGAAAUAACACAUGGAAUCAUGUAGUAAGCAAAAAAGUGUUAAACAAAUAAAUAUUUUUGAGAUUCUUCAAAUAGCCACCCUUUGCCUUGAUGACAGCUUUGCACACACUUGGCAUUCUCUCAACCAGCUUCAUGAGUUUGUCACCUGGAAUGCAUUUCAAUUAACAGGUGUGCCUUCUAAAUUUGUGGAAUUUCUUUCCUUUUUAAUGUUUGAGCCAAUCAGUUGGGUUGUGACAAGGUAUACAGAAGAUAGCCCUAUUUGGUGAAAGACCAAGUCCAUAUUAUGGUAAGAACAGCUCAAAUAAGCAAAGAGAAAUGACAGUCCAUCAUUACUUUAAGACAUGGUCAGUCAAUAAGGGAAAAUUAAGAACUUUGAAAGUUUCUUCAAGUGCACUCGCAAGCGCUAUGAUGAAACUGGCUCUCAUUAGGACCGCCACGGGAAAGGAAGACCCAGAAUUACCUCUGCUGCAGAGGAUAAGUUCAUUUGUUACCAGCCUCAGAAAUUGCAGCCUAAAUAAAUGCUUCAGAGUUAAAGUAAAAAACACAUGCCCAACAUCAACUAUUCAGAUGAGACUGUGUGCUUUUAUGGUCGAUUUGCUGCGAAGAAACCACUACUAACGGACACCAAUAAUAAGAGACUUGCUUGGGCCAAGAAACACGAGCAAUGGACAUUAGACCGGUGGAAAUUUGUCCUUUGGUCUGGAGUCCAAAUUGGAGAUUUUUGGUUCCAACCGCCGUGUCUUUGUGAGACGCAGUGUGGGUGAACAGAUGAUCGCCGCAUGUGUAUUUUCCAUCGUAAAGCAUGGAGGAGGUGGUGGUGUUAUGGUGUGCGGGUGCAUUGCUAGUGACACUGUCUGUGAUUUAUUUAAAAUUCAAGGCACACUUAACCAGCAUGACUACCACAGCAUUCUGCAGCGAUACGCCAUCCCGUCUAGUUUGGGCUUAGUGGGUCUGUCAUUUGUUUUUCAACAGGACAGUGACCCACAACACACCUCCAGGCUGUGUACGGGCUAUUUUACCAAGGAGAGUGAUGGAGUGCUGCAUCAGAUGACAUGGCCUCCACAAUCCCCCGACCUCAACCAAAUUGUGAUGGUUUGGGAUGAGUCGGACGGCAGAGUGAAGGAAGAGCAGCCAACAAGGGCUCAGCAUAUGUGGGAACUCCUUCAAGACUGUUGGAAAAGCAUUCCAGGUGAAGCUGGUUGAGAGAAUGCCAAGAGUGUGCAAUGAUGUCAAGGCAAAGGGUGGCUACUUUGAAGAAUCUCAAAUAUAAAAUAUAUUUUGAUGUAACUUUUUUUGGUUAUUACAUGAUUCCAUGUGUUAUUUCAUAGUUUUGUCUUCACUAUUACUCUACAAUGUAUUAUAAUAGUAAAAAUAAAGGAAAACCCUUGAAUGAGUAGGUGUUCUAAAACUUCUGACCGGUCGUGUAUUUUGGUUGAAUGCAUUGUUGUGCAACUUACUCGGUAUUCCCUUUCCUCAGUUGAAACAAUGGAGAUGAGUCAAUGCUUGUGUGACAAUGUUUGUAACACUAUUAGUCACCGAAUCUCAACCCAGGAAGGAACAUUGCGGUUUAGCGAAAAAACUGAAGCCUAUUGACAAGUAUAACCGUAGUAUAACUGUGUACUCAGCUUCACUCUUAGUCAGAACACAAUUUUAAGUGUUGUGUGUCAGGAGAAUGUGGAUGGCUGCAUAAUUACCUCAUGUUACUGACAAAAUUACUUCGUUAUCAAUGUUAAGUGGAUAUGGAUAGCAGCAGCAAGAAAAGGGCAAUUUAUAUACAGAAUUAUUUAUUUCAAAUUAUAUUUUUGAAUGUUUAUAGUUUGUGGUAACAGCUAAAUGUCUGGAUAAAUACUGUAAAAGGGACCCCUGCAAAGUUGUUUGUAAAACCAGUGACACCAGCUGACCAACCUUUUGUUACUGAGCAAUAACUGACAAUUUGUUAGUUAAUUUACUUCUCUUGUCUGUUUGGUUUUUGUACAUGGGUUAGUGUAGUAAUAAGCAAUGUUACAUGUGAACUCUGGCUGACUUGUGUAUUAUGUUAUGAAUAAAAUGAGCUGAUUUCUUGAUAUCAA